AGAGAAAAAACUAAUCGUCAAUAUUUCAUAUACUUAUUCUACUGUUUAAUCUACAUGAUAACUCUGCACCGCAUUACAAGAGGAGUGUUGGGUGAAGAUCAGCGGUUUGCAGCACAACAUUACAGAUGAUGGAAAAAAAAUUAGAGCAGCUCUGAUGAGCUGGAGUCUCGGGAUUAAACUGCCACAGAGACUGUCUGCUCCGCGCCUGUCUGAGACCUUUACCGGAUCAGCUAUAUUUAGUCUGCAUGGCCCCAGUUUACGGUUCAUCAUUGACAGAAGAAGAUUCAGUUUAAUAGAUCAUUCCAGAUCCAGAGUAAUCAUGCUAAUGCUUGAGGACAUCAGCAUGACAUUAAUAAUUGGUGUGCCUUUCAAUCAUCGCAGCAAUGUUCCCCCUCUGGUUUUCAGAAAUCAUCAUCUUUGUCUGCUAAACGGAGCAGGAUAAAUAGGUUAUGAUGAAGAAGUAAGUUUAAAAAAAAAUGAACAAAACAACAAAUUCUGUCAACGACGAUGUUGAAUACAUAUAUUUCCUUCAUCUGUCAUAUCCAGAAAACAGGAAACCAAAGAAGGAACAGGGGAGUACAUUAAAAUUACCUACAUAGGAUAACGACUGAACAAUAAACUGUCUCACAGGCAGCUUCUCUCUGAAUACUCAGGGACCAUAGUAAAAAAACAGAAUUCAUUUUGCAACCUGAUGAACCCUUUAAUCAGUCUCAGGGUGAUGCUCUCCAGGACAAACACAUGAGAGCACAUCACCUGACAACUACUUAAGAUCCUCAUCCUGGCUGGCUCAAAUAUACUGUAUUUCUGACAUUAUUCUGAAUUUACAAACUCAGCAGAGCUCUCAGGUCACAAAGCUAUGCCAAUCUCCCUCAUGCCCAGUGAGAUUGCAUUCAGGACGUUCUGUAUAACUUGUACUCAUUGAGUUCCAUUACAGUCAACAUUUAUGUUGUAUUCCUGUUUCCAUUUAAAUACAAAUUGUUGUGAAAACUCAUGCAGAUACAAUAUAACCAUGAAGACCUCUAAACUGACUGCAAGCUGGUCUCUGUUAACACCCAGAACCACCAUUUAUAUAAAUCACUCCAACCUGCC
ensembl:lncRNA